rnacentral:rRNA from 1 species
CUACGGGCCGCUGCAGUAAGGAAUAUUGGGCAAUGGACGCAAGUCUGACCCAGCCAUGCCGCGUGUAGGAUGACAGCCCUACGGGUUGUAAACUGCUUUUAUACGGGAAAAAUUCCCCGGUCGUGAAUCGGGGUUGAUGGUACCGUAAGAAUAAGCAUCGGCUAACUCCGUGCCAGCGGCCGCGGUAAUACGGAGGAUGCAAGCGUUAUCCGGAUUCAUUGGGUUUAAAGGGUGCGUAGGCGGGAUGAUAAGUCAGUGGUGAAAUCCUACAGCUUAACUGUAGAACUGCCAUUGAUACUGUUGUUCUUGAGUACAUUUGAAGUGGGCGGAAUGUGUCAUGUAGCGGUGAAAUGCAUAGAGAUGACACAGAACACCGAUCGCGAAGGCAGCUCACUAAACUGUAACUGACGCUGAGGCACGAAAGCGUGGGGAUCAAACAGGAUUAGAUACCCCCGUAGUC